AUGAGCUUCUAUAGCCUCCAUGAGACGCUCCACCAGGAGGUGGCCAAAUAUCAGUCCAGGUUCUUCUGGGCUGGCGAGGGGGACAAGCAAAAAUACCAUAUGAUGAGCUGGCCUGACAUUUGCAAACCCAAGGACCAGGGAGGUCUGGGGAUCUUGUCUUCCCGUCGCAUGAACAUUGCUCUCCUGACCCGAUGGCUAUGGCGUAUCGCCAACGGGGAGGGUGGCCUCUGGCUUACCAUCAUCCAGAAUAAGUAUCUCCGGGGCCAACCUCUAGCUUUCUGCCAGCGCUCUGGGGGAUCCCAGUUCUGGCAAGCUGUGAUUCAGCUCCUUCCCGUGCUACGAAUUGGCAUGUCCAUCUCUGUGGGUUCCGGGUCCUCGACCCUGUUUUGGUUCGACCGCUGGCUUGGGGAUUCCCCUCUGGCCGCCCGCUUCCCGGGCUUAUUUGCCAUUGCGGCUGACCCCCGGAUUUCCGUUGAGAGGGCCCUUAUUGACUUAGGGCGUCAACCUUUCGGCGCCCCUUUGGCCCCCAGAAGGUUGACGCGUGGGACGCCCUUCUACAGGACAUCGCUCUCUUGCCGAUGGAUGUAG
rnacentral:rRNA from 1 species